AAUAUUGGUCAAUGGAGGAAACUCUGAUGCAGCGACGCCGCGUGAACGACAAAGGCCUUCGGGUCGUAAAGUUCUGUCCUUGGGGACGAUAAUGACGGACACCAAGGAGGAAGCCCCGGUUAACUACGUUCCAGCAGCAGCGGUAAUACGUAGGGGGCGAGCGUUGUCCGGAAUUAUUGGGCGUAAAGGGUUCGCAGGCGGUCUUUUAAGUCAGAUGUUAAAUGCAUAGGCUCAACCUAUGAGUGCAUUUGAAACUGGAAGACUUGAGUUAAGGAGAGGAAAGUGGAAUUCCUAGUGUAGCGGUGAAAUGCGUAGAUAUUAGGAGGAAUACCAGUGGCGAAGGCGACUUUCUGGACUUAAACUGACGCUGAGGAACGAAAGCAUGGGGAGCAAACAG
rnacentral:rRNA from 1 species